AACGCACGAGACCUGCGGACCUGCGGAAGGAUCAUUACCGAGUUUUCAACUCCCAAACCCCAUGUGAACUUAUACCAUUUACACCGUUGCUUCGGCGGGUUCUCGCCCCGGGCUUUACAACCCCGGAACCAGGCGGCCCGCCGGGGGACCCAAACUCUAGAUUUUAUUUUAGCAUGUCUGAGUGGAAUCAUUACAAAAUGAAUCAAAACUUUCAGCAACGGAUCUCUAGAUCGGAAGAGC
rnacentral:misc_RNA from 1 species